rnacentral:lncRNA from 1 species
GCUCCGACACGCCUGGCCGUGGCCGGUCCAGCACGGGGAAGCCGUUGUGCGGCGUGGACCUGAGCACCUCGACGACGGUGGACACCUUCUCGAUGACCUGCAGCGUAACGACCCGCGGCUUGGCGGCCGCGAGCUCGCCGACGGCCAGGUCCUUCAUCCACGUCUCCGGCUUGGGCUCCAGGAACGGCAGGCCCUUGAGGUCGAGGAUGAUCUCGUAGAUGCUGGGGUUGAAGGCGUCACCGACCGUCUUGGCGAUGAGCAGCACGAACAUGGUGAUGGGGAGCAGGAGGAGGUUGUUGGUGAGCUCGAGGAAGAUGACGCAGAGCGAGACGGUCAUCC